AACACUCACCACGGAGGUCUGCAGCUUCACUCCUGAAGCCAGCCAGACCAUGAACCCACUGGGAGGAAGAAACUCCAGACACGUCCCAACAUCAGAAGGAACAAACUCCGGACACACCAUCUUUAAGAACUGUAACACUCAUUGGGAGGGUCCGAGGCUUCAUUCUUGAAAUCAGAGAGACCAAGAACCCACCAAUUCUGGACACACUAGUACCUGUGGUAUUUAGGUUGUAACUUCCUCAAGCAGUUCUUUCCACAUCAUGUAGCUCUGGUCCAUGCCAUGUGUGCCAAUGGUAACCAAACCUUUCAUCCUGACCAUCACUAACUGGAUUGGCGUCCCAGCCAAAAGCAACCAAUCUCUGUGGAGAAAAGAGAAGCCAACGUCCUCUGAGAAGAGCUAGCUGAGGUUUUAUUUUGGACAAAAAAAAAAAAAAGCAAA
rnacentral:lncRNA from 1 species